GUGUUGUAUGAAAGGAGAGAAGGUUAGCACUCCCCUUGACAAGGAUGGAGGAGGUCCUAGUGACCUUCAACACACUAAAUAGGGAAUCAUCAUAUUUGGGGAUCAUCAUAUUUAUAUUAU